CAUAAUGUUACUUAUCCUUCGUACCUGAUUCCCCUACAUCAGUUAUAUUCUUAUUUGCUUAAGCUUGCAUCAGUUUGAAUGGGCUGUGAUAUGUAUUUAAUAAAUUCACAUUUUCUACAUGAGGGGGAACUUGAUGUUCACAUCGCUACAUUUGGGACCAUCUCUUUUUCUUCUUUCAUGCAGUUCUUUAUUUUGCAAGUUUGAUAUAUUGAACUAGCUUUUUAUGGAAACUUCAUGGAACUAAAAAAGAAAUAAAACAUUGAUGAGGCUGGAGAAUGCGUCUGAUUGGUUGAAGUUAUGUUUAUAUAUUACAGUACAGUCCUUGCCGUACCAGUGUGCACAUCAAUUGUCACUUCAUAGUUGUGAUGUUGAAUGGUUGGAUGUAUGCCCACAAUUUCCUGUGGCAUAAGACGAUGAUGUUUUAUACAGAUGUACAUCAUACUUGGCCACGAAGAACUCAACAGUUUGAUGACCAAUUAGGUAAUAACUAUCAGGCAUCACAUCACUUUACGUAUGCACACCAGAGAGUUUCUUUUUGCACAAGGUAUUAUUCAUCAAUCUGUCUCUGUACUAUGUAUAUGUCAAGUCCAGUCAUUUUUAGCCUGCAGUCAAUAUAUGUUCUGCUAACCUGCUGGAUCUGGCUUCAAACUAUCACCUUCAAGAUACUAUAUUCUCCAUCUUCUACUAAGAAUACACUAAGCCCCUGCUUGGCCCCCAUUAUUUGAAUUUAUAAUGGGGGGAAUAGUAGUUUUUUGAAGAUUGUGUGGUUGAAAGUAGGAGAAAGAAAAAAUUAAAUUAAAUUGAAGAGUUUUAAAGGGGGCCAAAUUGAAGAGUUUUAAAGGGGGCCAAACGGGGGCUAAAUUUUGAAUCUACACCCUUGAUCAUAUGCUUCUACACAAUGCUUGAAAUAAAUUAUUUUAUUAGCAACAUAUUGGCAUAAUAACAUACAAGCUAAGCCUUAUUCUUGAUAUCUCAGAGCUAGGUGCAUAAUCCUUUUUGCCAUUUGACUUAGUUGAGACUGAGAACUGUAAGGAAGUGUAAUCUUCAAUCACCAAGACGAUAUACAGGCUCAGUAACCAAAAACCCGAAUCAAUACCAAAACAAACGACCCAAGAACACCACAAAGGUUUCACCUACGGUUGCUAGACCUUUGCCACUUAGAGACCACCACAAAGGAGGAGAAAUAUCACCAAGAUAUCAACACAAAGAGAAGCAGAAGGCAGUAGAGUACAGGGUCGAGAGAGAGCAUGCAGAGAUGAAGAAGAGAGACACCAAGUCUUGUUUCUCAAAAGUGGCGUGCAAGACCAAGUGAAUAAAUAUUGGGUCAAGUCACAAAUAAGGUAAGUUAGGUCUAGGUAAUGGGUCGUGGCCCAAUAACACAUAGUAGAAUAUAGAGUGGGCCUCAAGUAUAGCUAGUCAUCCAAGUAGGUAGAAAAUAUGACCCAUGAGAAACACAAUAAAAUUGGUUGCUUCAAAUGGUCCAAUCACUUUUUGGGUUGGGUCGUUCAAAUUUUGAUAUUGAUAUGUCGUUCAGUCAUAUUGCAAAUGCCGAUUCAUAAUUAAUAACCGGUUUAUAUCAUCGCCGGGAAGGUCGUUUGACAACAAUAUGUCUAACAAGAACUACCACUUGUAAAAUUCCAAGGUAAUCUUUUACAAUCACUGUAGGGCACAUUAAUUUUGGUCUAAAUAUCCAUCUUUUAACCUAUAUCAUUGAGAUUUCAUCUCUUUUCUGAAUCAGAGCUUCUAUAGGGCUACGCAUAAUCCUUUUUGCCAUUUGACAUUGAUUUUUUUUUAUGAAGACUUUUGAUUAGAGAAGCAACCUUUGCUGUCUUGCCUUGUGAAAGAUUUCUACCACAAUAUUAUAUAUUCCUCACUGUCCUUUUUGUGCAUUCCUAAUAUUGCAUUGGUUUUCCUCUGACAUGUUCACUGAAGCGUUUGGAUUCUAAAAUUAUGAUUCUGGUCUCACAGAUGUUAGGAUCACUGAAGCUUAUGGGUUUCUGCAGUUAUGAUUCUAGGCUCAUGAAAUUAUUUGUUAUGUUACUUCCUCUGUUGUCAACAGCCAGAGAGUGGCCUCUAUGAUGUGAUCAAAGUUGACAAACAAACAAAAUAAUGAUAAAAGAAGUAAAAAGCACAAAUAUAGUGACGUGGGUAGAAAAUGGACAUUAGGAAUCACAGAUGUCAUCUCAAAAGGAUAAAGACAGGGAGCAAACAACAGCUGGACAUCCCUCACUGCAUUAGCAAGACCAGCUGACCUGGUAUGAAAUGUCUUUUUACCAUCUUAACGUGUAUACAAAUAAUUUCAAGUAAUUUGAUUGAAAGAUACAUUUUCUUUGCCAAUUUAAUUUGUCUUAUUAUACACCACUGCUGGUCUCUGGUCAAUUGUCAUAUAAAUAAAAGAAAUGGCCAAAGGUGUUUUUGUGCUGGUCAACAAGCACGUACAUUUUUACCAAUAUUUAAAAGCUUAUCAAACCACAAGCCAUGUUUGACGAAGUCUUCCCUUUUUCAACAUGAAUGGAGAUAAGAAAUGAAUACCAU
rnacentral:lncRNA from 1 species